UAAGUAGAUAGUGAAAUCUGGUGGCUCAACCAUUCAGACUGUCAUCUAAACUGGACAUCUCGAGAGCGUCAGGGGUAACUGGAAUUUCUAGUGUAGGAGUGAAAUCCGUAGAUAUUAGAAGGAACACCGAUAGCGUAGGCAGGUUACUGGGGCGUUUCUGACACUAAGGCACGAAAGCGUAGGGAGCAAACGGGAUUAGAUACCCCGGUAGUCUACGCCGUAAACGAUGGAUGCUA
rnacentral:rRNA from 1 species